CUUUUUGACGAGUGAGCAUAGCGAAAGAGAUCAAAAAGCAUUCAUAUGAUGUCAAGCAGCUGAUAUUUUCCAAUAUCAAUAUGCAGAUAAUCUGAUAAUCAAUUUAUCAGGCUAUAUUUGCGUGUUUCAGAAGUGUCUUCUUUGUUUCACCAGCACACACAAGAUGACUUGAUAAGUUCGGGUCAAAGUUAUUAACGUCGGUUCAAACAUUAUGACGUCGCUGAUAUGUCCGGGUCAAAGUUAAUAAGGCUGGGUCAAUGUAUUUGACGUCACAAAGACAUGAUACGGAAUAAUAUUAAGAGCUGAACAGAGUGAUAUAGACAGUGGGACGACCAAUAAGACACAUGUAAAACAAUUCAAACGAGAAAUCUUAAGAUAUGUGCAUUGUUCAUCAUGUUCAUAUUGUAUAUGAAGAUUAAUAAGAUUAAAGUAAACAAUGUGGUAUGUUUCCAAAAUAAAAGCUAUCCACCAAUGACCAACUGAUGUCGAUGCAAUUACUAGCCAUACAAAUGAUACAUACAUGUUGGUCACCAUACUUCCUUCAUUUAUAUUAUGACUAUUGAGUAAAUUUUUGCAAACAUGGCAAACCUGUACAUGUACAUGCUGUUUAUAUACAUAUUACUACUGUUCAAUGACUCAAGUUUUAAAUGCAUAAGCUUAAGGUCAUAACAGAAUUUAAACUAACUAUCAUAAUUGUAUGAACAUCAUGAUGAAUAUUUACAUUCUCUCAAAGAGUUUUAAUUUUACUUAGCUAAUACAGAAGAUGAUGGAUUCCCCAACAGAAAUUUUGAUGAUCGAACGAUUAAGGUGAAAAAAUUGAAGAAUUGCAUCAAUUGUUACAGAGAAUCGAUUUGCAAGCAGAAACAGGUGCUUUAAGAUUUAAGGGAAUACAACAGCCAUCCAUGAUCCUUUACUUGUAAAGUAAGUAGCUGUUCAUGAUGCUUAUAGGCAUAUACAAUCUAGUCUGGGCAUGUAAAACAGCAGCUGGUUCUAUUUUGAAAAUCUACAAAAUAGAGCUAAGGUCCUUUAAGCCAAGAAACUGCUAGUGUCUGAAGAGGACAAUUUAAGACAGGACAUGAAAAUUGAUUUAAUGUCAAGUUGGAACAGUGAUUCUGUAAAUAAACUCGCCUGAUCACAAGACCUCGGAUUUGACUGAAUCUUACAUGGACAGACCAAAGUCAUUUACUAGACUGUAAAUACUAGAGGCAGCUGAAAGCACAAGGCACAAAGCUGAGGUCCAAGUAAAUCAGAGAGGCCUUGUCACAAGAAAUGUCAGAACUUGCAUGGUUUUUUUCCUUAAGGGUAUAUGACAAAAUAUUGAGAUAUAUGUCAAUGAAAAUGACUUUGUCAGAAUUUAAAAAAGGGCCAAUUCAAAGGUACACUUUUGGAAUUUGCAAGAACAAAAAAACCUUCAUGUUUACUUUUGAAUUAUAGUUGACAAUCUUCACUUUAAGGGAAACCUCUGAAAAUAAGUCCAAUGGAGGGGUUUGGUUUAUUGAAUUCAAUUAUUUUUUAAAGAAAAACAGAUGAAAUAUUGCUCUUUAAUUUCAACAUUUGCAUUUUGCUAUUAAAAUUAUUUACAAGUGCAGCAUAUCCAUGACAUCAGAUUAUGUUAUUGUGUUUGGUUAAGCUACAUAUUUCUUUUUACUUAAACUUUCUGUUGACUUUACUAGUUAAUAAAAUGCUGAAUAAUAAUUUGAGUGUGGCUCAUUCGAGUGUCUAGUAUUUCCUGUCAAUUUUUUGGAUGAUUUUACCAUAUUAUUUAUAAUCGCUUGGUCAAAGGGAGAUAACUUAUUGUAUUUUCACAUUAAAAUGCUGAAUAAUAAUUUGAGUGGCUCAUUCCAGUGUCUAGUAUUUGCUGUCAAUUUUUUGAAUGAUUUUACCAUAUUAUUAUUUAUAAUCGCUUGGUCAAAGGGAGAUAACUUAUUGUAUUUUCACAUUAAAAUGCUGAAUAAUUAUUUGAGUGGCUCAUUCCAGUGUCUAGUAUUUGCUGUCAAUUUUUUUGAUGAUUUUACCAUAUUAUUUAUAAUCGCUUGGUCAAAGGGAGAUAACUUAUUGUAUUUUUACAUUAAAAUGCUGAAUAAUAAUUUGAGUGUGGCUCAUUCCAGUGUCUAGUAUUUGCUGUCAUUUUUUUUGAUGAUUUUACCAUAUUAUUUAUAAUCGCUUGGUCAAAGGGAGAUAACUUUUUGUAUUUUCACAUUAAAUCAUCUGCGAAGAGGAUUAUGUAAAAUGUGAAUUGUUGAAAACUAAUUUUAUGGUUCAAUAAAAUCAAAAUAAGUUACUGCCAUUCAUUAUAAAUAUAUUUCUAUCAAAAAUAAGGUUCAAAGAACUUUUUAUAUUACUAAUAUUAACAAUAACAAUGUACACACAUGUUGACUUGUUAAUACACAACGUCAGAGUGGGUGUGUCACCAUAAAAUGUAAACAUUGAAAAUAAAACUGAUACUUUUAACUAAUCAGGAGACAGUUAAUACACCAAAUAUAUUUUUAAACCUAUAAACUUAUUAUGUUCUUCAAAUUUUAAGGUGCCUAUGUUUGCUAUUUGUUAUAACCCUAUUGUUAUGAUUCUUAAACCAUCUAUACAAGUAAGCAUGUUGAUUUGUCACUUACCAUUAUUUUAUUGAUUAGUUUGAAUUUGAUGAGGUUCUUCGAUGUAGAACUGGACUUAUUUAAACAAAAAAUGUUUUGUUUAUUUGUUUGAUAGUAAAAUUGUAUAACAAACAUUUGACAUUUUAUUUAAUUUAUCAUCAAAACAACUAUUUUGUCAGUAUCUGAA